UACGUAGGGUCCAAGCGUUGUCCGGAAUUAUUGGGCGUAAAGAGCUCGUAGGCGGUCCAUUAAGUCUGAUGUGAAAUCUCAGGGCUCAACCCUGAAAUCGCAUUCGAUACUGGUGGACUUGAGGCAGGUAGGGGAAGGUGGAAUUCCUGGUGUAGCGGUGAAAUGCGCAGAUAUCAGGAAGAACACCAACGGCGAAGGCAGCUCGCUGGGACGGUACUGACGCUGAGACGCGAAAGCGUGGGGAGCGAACAGG
rnacentral:rRNA from 1 species